UACGUAGGGGGCAAGCGUUGUCCGGAUUUAUUGGGCGUAAAGCGCGCGCAGGCGGUCUAUUAAGUCUGAUGUGAAAGCCCACGGCUCAACCGUGGAGGGCCAUUGGAAACUGGUAGGCUUGAGUGCAGGAGAGGAGAGCGGAAUUCCCGGUGUAGCGGUGAAAUGCGUAGAUAUCGAGAGGAACACCUGCGGCGAAGGCGGGUUGCUGGGCUGACACUGACGCUGAUGCGCGAAAGCUAGGGGAGCGAACGGG
rnacentral:rRNA from 1 species